UUAAGAGGUUCGUACGUAAUGUGCAGUGAUUUGACAUAAAUGCUGGGAGAUACAGUAGUCUAACCUCACACUACUUCUUUUCAAAAAAGCGGAUGUGGAGAUCCAACAUAAACUCUGAAGCAGAUGGCAUGCCGGGCUUUCUUUUCCUCUCCGAAAGAUGUUCAUAGCGGAAUAAGAUGCAGGUAAGAAGAUGGAUCCACAUCAAAUGCAACAACAUUUAGUCCAUAAAUCUGAAUUUAGCAUGUGCAAGAAAUUUUACAAAUCUUGUAAUACAUUUUUGUAAGAAGUAAUAGGUAGGUGCAAAAACUUGAGAAGUAGGAAUAUUAAUAAAAAUAUAUUUAGAAUGUUU